AGUGAACGCUGGCGGUAGGCCUAACACAUGCAAGUCGAACGGCAGCACAGUAAGAGCUUGCUCUUACGGGUGGCGAGUGGCGGACGGGUGGGGAAUACAUCGGAAUCUACUUUUUCGUGGGGGAUAACGUAGGGAAACUUACGCUAAUACCGCAUACGACCUACGGGUGAAAGCAGGGGAUCUUCAGACCUUGCGCGAUUGAAUUAGCCGAUGUCGGAUUAGCUAGUUGGCGGGGUAAAGGCCCACCAAGGCGACGAUCCGUAGCUGGUCUGAGAGGAUGAUCAGCCACACUGGAACUGAGACACGGUCCAGACUCCUACGGGAGGCAGCAGUGGGGAAUAUUGGACAAUGGGCGCAAGCCUGAUCCAGCCAUACCGCGUGGGUGAAGAAGGCCUUCGGGUUGUAAAGCCCUUUUGUUGGGAAAGAAAAGCAGCAGGUUAAUACCCCGCUGUUCUGACGGUACCCAAAGAAUAAGCACCGGCUAACUUCGUG
rnacentral:rRNA from 1 species